GAUGAACGCUGGCGGCGUGCCUAAUACAUGCAAGUCGAGCGAACAGAUGAGGAGCUUGCUCCUCUGACGUUAGCGGCGGACGGGUGAGUAACACGUGGAUAACCUACCUAUAAGACUGGGAUAACUUCGGGAAACCGGAGCUAAUACCGGAUAAUAUAUUGAACCGCAUGGUUCAAUAGUGAAAGACGGUUUUGCUGUCACUUAUAGAUGGAUCCGCGCCGCAUUAGCUAGUUGGUAAGGUAGCGGCUUACCAAGGCAACGAUGCGUAGCCGACCUGAGAGGGUGAUCGGCCACACUGGAACUGAGACACGGUCCAGACUCCUACGGGAGGCAGCAGUAGGGAAUCUUCCGCAAUGGGCGAAAGCCUGACGGAGCAACGCCGCGUGAGUGAUGAAGGUCUUCGGAUCGUAAAGCUCUGUUAUUAGGGAAGAACAAAUGUGUAAGUAACUAUGCACGUCUUGACGGUACCUAAUCAGAAAGCCACGGCUAACUACGUG
rnacentral:rRNA from 1 species